rnacentral:rRNA from 1 species
GGGGGAAUAUUCGACAAUGGGCGAAAGCCUGAUCCAGCCAUGCCGCGUGUGUGAAGAAGGUCUUCGGAUUGUAAAGCACUUUAAGUUGGGAGGAAGGGCAUUAACCUAAUACGUUAGUGUUUUGACGUUACCGACAGAAUAAGCACCGGCUAACUCUGUGCCAGCAGCCGCGGUAAUACAGAGGGUGCAAGCGUUAAUCGGAAUUACUGGGCGUAAAGCGCGCGUAGGUGGUUUGUUAAGUUGGAUGUGAAAUCCCCGGGCUCAACCUGGGAACUGCAUUCAAAACUGACUGACUAGAGUAUGGUAGAGGGUGGUGGAAUUUCCUGUGUAGCGGUGAAAUGCGUAGAUAUAGGAAGGAACACCAGUGGCGAAAGCGACCACCUGGACUAAUACUGACACUGAGGUGCGAAAGCGUGGGGAGCAAACA